UCUCCGUAGGUGAACCUGCGGAGGGAUCAUUACAGAGUUCUCGCCCUCGCGGGUAGAUCUCCCACCCACUGUUAUCGUUACUGUGUUGCUUUGGCGGGCCGCCGGGCCCCGCUCGGCCGCCGGCUCCGGCUGGCGCGCGCCCGCCAGAGGCCCAGCAAACUCUGAAUGUUAGUGUCGUCUGAGUACUAUAUAAGAGUCAAAACUUUCAACAACGGAUCUCUUGGUUCUG
rnacentral:misc_RNA from 1 species